GAGUCCAGGUGAAAAAGAGGACUGGGCAUCUGCACCUUUAACAGUUGUAUGGAAGAGGGCAUUUCAGCAGAUGUACCUACUGGUCUGUUCUUCAGGCAAAGCGUAUUUUAUAUAAGGCAUAGCCAAUCCAGAAGCUUCAUAAUGCCUGCCAGUCAUUUAUUUAUUAUUUGAUUUAUAUCCCGCCCUUCCUCCCAGCAGGAGCCCAUAGGGGACAAUGUUUUGUAUUCCCAUUUCCUUCUGCACCAAGUGCCGUCUCGAAGGAUUAACUGCAUCCAGUCCACACUAAAUCGGAUCACAGAAGAGCGAUACCUUAAUGAAAGAAAGUGGUUCAUGAAAGAAAAUAAACUGUGGAGAGAAAUGGCCAUUUUGCAAGGAAGGAAAGUUACCAUUUCAGCCUCUGAGGGGACGUGGCGCUGCCCUUCCGUGACUCCCAGCCACACCAUUCUAAAAGCAUGCUUCAGUUCAAAGUUGUUAAUAUUCAGCUGGGAAACAGUAUCCAGAACACAAAUAAAUUAUUAAGUGCAUGAACUUUUUUAGGCAGUAAGCUGAACUGAUGGGGUCCAUCUGUGAGUUCCAGGGUCUUUUUUUAUGUAUGUGUAUGGAAUGGUUUUGCCCUCCCUGACUUCCUAGCCUUGGUCUGUGUCCAAGUGUAUGUAUAAUUGAUUCCAUACGUGCGAUUGGUUUCUCGAUGUAAUUGCUUUGUAAGAUAUGAAGAUACAUCUAAUGCAUAAUAAUAAUAAUAAUAAUAAUAAUAAAAACUGGCUAACAUUUCCAUCCUAUAUGUUAGAGCAGUACAGAGAGGCAUCCAGAUAUUCACAUAUUUCUGUAAAAGAAGUAUAUGCCAUUUCCCUUUCAUGGUAGGACAGCUAACCCAACCUUGUGAAGUACAAGGAUUUACCCCUCCAAACGCCAGUUGAGUAGAUAGGAGAGGAUUUUUGCUAGUUGUAGCCUCUAGUGUAUUUAUUUGUGAACAAUUGCCACACGUGCUUUUCUGAUGCCGAAGGAUGAAAAUAUUGCAAAGUCCUCCAAAGCUGUAUAAAGACUUGUAUUUCUUCAAGUUAUCUUUAAAAAGAGAGGAAAAAAUGCAGCGUGGCCUCCGUGAACUGCUCUAAAACGUUAUGACACUCUCAGUGAAGUAUAUUGGCCUGUUGCAUAGGACAGCUUCACUCUGUUUAUUUGAAGAAGGCACUCUGGUCAAACAAGAAACUUCCCAGAGUUAAGGAGAUGUUUUGGGCUUUGUUUAAGCUUGACUGAAGUGAAACAUAAAAGCUAAAGGAAUGUGUUUCCUUUAGGGAAAAAAGUGGAUAAGAGAAGAAUCAACUCAUUUGAAAUGUGGUGUCGGAGGAGAGUUUUGCGCAUACCAUGGACCGCGAAAAAGACAAAUAAUUGGGUGUUAGAACAAAUUAAACCAGAAGUGUCCCUGGAAGCUAAAAUGAUGAAACUGAGGUUAUCCUACGUUGGACACAUAAUAAGAAGACAUGAUUCACUAGAAAAGACAAUAAUGCUGGGAAAAACAGAAGGGAGUCGAAAAAGAGGAAGGCCAAACAAGAGAUGGACUGAUUCCAUAAAGGAAGCCACAGACCUGAACUUACAAGAUCUGAACA